GAUGAACGCUGGCGGCGUGCCUAAUACAUGCAAGUCGAGCGAACAGACGAGGAGCUUGCUCCUCUGACGUUAGCGGCGGACGGGUGAGUAACACGUGGAUAACCUACCUAUAAGACUGGGAUAACUUCGGGAAACCGGAGCUAAUACCGGAUAAUAUAUUGAACCGCAUGGUUCAAUAGUGAAAGACGGUUUUGCUGUCACUUAUAGAUGGAUCCGCGCCGCAUUAGCUAGUUGGUAAGGUAACGGCUUACCAAGGCAACGAUGCGUAGCCGACCUGAGAGGGUGAUCGGCCACACUGGAACUGAGACACGGUCCAGACUCCUACGGGAGGCAGCAGUAGGGAAUCUUCCGCAAUGGGCGAAAGCCUGACGGAGCAACGCCGCGUGAGUGAUGAAGGUCUUCGGAUCGUAAAACUCUGUUAUUAGGGAAGAACAAAUGUGUAAGUAACUAUGCACGUCUUGACGGUACCUAAUCAGAAAGCCACAGCUAACUACAUG
rnacentral:rRNA from 1 species